UCCUUACCUCAAACCCUACCUCCACGACUUAAAUUACCCUUUAAAUGCUAUUUACUAAUUAGAUAUUAGUUUAUCAUCUCUCUUUCUCCUCUCUACUCUCAAGAGAAAGAAGUUAGGGUUUCUUUUAAAAACUCAUACUUUCAAGGCUUAGGUUUAAGAUAUCUCAUAUUUUUAUUCAUCAAAAAGGGUAGUUUUGUUGCAGUUGUGGCCAUGAGCUUUGAUAAGAAUCUGGUGAAUUUAGCUUCCACCUGUACUGGAUCCUCUAACCUGUUCCCCUGUUCAUCAUAUAUACUAGUAAUGGCAUUCUUUUUUGUCCAAAGCUUCAAUUGUGCAUGGAAGUACUUUAUGUUUGCAUCCCCUCAUCUAUCCAAUUAACUCUAGCUUUCUGCCUGUAAACUUGCUCCCCAAUUUCACUCUAUUUCUUGAGUUCAGUCAGCCAGGUUCUUUCUUGUUCAAUUAAUAUGGGACAUAGAGGCUUUCUAAUGAGCAGGCCUUGAGUGAUCUCAAGACCUUGUGUAGCCUGCUGGAUCCUCUAACUGUAGGAAGCUAAAUAAGUGUUCAAACUCUUUAACCCUUUCUAUAUUGCCUUUAGUUUAUACCAAAGGUUGAACAUUUUAGUCCCCUAACGUGAAGUGUUCCAUGUAUCUUCUAAAAUCCUACCAAAGUUAGGAUAUUUCAGCACUGUCAUGUAUAAUUUGAAAGGUUUUGGGGCCUGUUGGUGGUUAAGAGCAUAUGCUAACAACUAUGGGAGAAUGAUCAGAUACUCUAUGAUUUAAAUACUCUUCCUUUACAUGACCAUAAGUAGAUACCUAGUAAGAGUUGCCAAAUGCCUAAUCUAUUUUGGAAUACACUCUGCUACUGGGUCUUGCCUAUUGUAAAAGGUGAAGUGACAAUAUUUGGCUUUGAGUGCUGUGAGAGAGAGGGUAUUGAGACACCUUUGGAAUCUGUUAACUUCACUAGGCAGCACAGGUGAGCCAAUUAUCUCAUCUGUUGUCAAAAUAUUAUUGAAAUCACCACUAACCAGCCAAGGAUUCUGAACAUGUUGUCCUAGUUAGGUUAAUUCUUACCACAAUAUUUCCCUAUUUUGAUUUUCAUUUCAAGCAUAGAUUAUAGUAUGGUAAAACUGGAUGAGGUUCACAGGGACCUCUACCUUACAAUGUAAAAAUUAUUCAUGAAGGAGUUCAACCUGCAAGUUUAUGUCUACCUUCUAGAAUAUCCACACCCUACUAUUGUAGGCAAUAGGGUAGUUGCAGCUAUGAUUCCAAUUACUUGCAACCUUUUCCAUUACCUUUUUUGCUUUAUUUUGUUUCACUCUAGUCUCCAACACACCCAUUAUUUCCAUUUUAUUCUUCUGCAGAAAGAGUUUCAGCUCUUUUUGUUUUGAUGAAUGGUUUAACCUCUUAUGUUCGAAGAUGCUACUAUCAUGGAGGUUUGUGUUGCAUCUCUUCAUUUCCAGUAUUACUAGUACCUUCCUAUAUUAACACUACAAAUCUAUUCACUGUAUUGCUGGUACUGGUUUCUAUCUCCUUUUCUUUAGUGCUUUUGAUAGUAGUGACCUCUUUUUCACAUAUGAUUCCAUUUUCCUUUCCUUUUUGUACCUCUAGUGAAGCUUGUACCUCCCUUGAAACUUUCUCCAUUAGUUGUGCCUUAUUCAUUGUCCAUUCCUUCUUCAUGGGUGGGGGUUGCCCUUUCUUUCUGUUCCUUCUUCUUUUCCUUUUCUUCAUAUCCUGGAAUUCAUUUUCCUUUAUGGAGUUUUCUUUUAUCCAACAAUCUUCUAUUGUGUGACCGAAUUUCAAACAUUCAUUACAAAACUUAGGUCGCCAGUUAUAUUCAAUAGAUUGUUGGAAGCUUUCCCCCAGAGCAUUUAGUUCAAUAGUGUCUAGGAGUGGUUGGGCAACAUCCACUUCAACCAGGAUUCUAUCAUAAGAGAUACGAAUUAUAUUUGCAAUAAAUUGGUCCAUGUAUAAUGGUCUUCCCACUGUACUCGUGACUUUUCUAAGGGAUUCAGUCAACCAGUAGCCUACUGGAAGACCUGGGAGAGUUACCCAUAAUGGAAUUCUAGUAAUACAAUCAGGGUUGAAGAUAAAAUUUACCUACCAAUCAUGAAGUACGAAGGGCUUAUUAUGAAAUAUGUAAGGGCCAGUCUACUUCACCUUUUCACAAUCCUUCAUAGAAUCAAAUCUAAAUAUGAAGUAGCCCUCAUCAUGAUGUAGUACCUAGGGUUUUUGGGCAUAAUUCCAUGCCUGCUAAAUAUAACUUUCCAUUGCCUUCAAGUAUGGUGUAUUUCAUAUGAUGUAGCCAAUAAUGGCCAUUUCCAGUACUCCUCUUAUUCGUUGAGAUCAAAGGCCUUAAUGUUUACUACAAGUUUUCCUUCCUUCAAGUUUAGUGGGAUAUAAGAAAACUUCUUACCUUAUUGUGCAGUGCAAUUCUCAUGUUUCUCUGACUUGUCAACUAGAGUUGGGUGGGUUGAGUUACCUGUCUCUACAAUUGCAAUCUUCGAGCUUCCUGUGCCGUUGCUAGUGGUUCAAAUGAUUACAGGUGGAUCUAUGUUUGCAACUUCGAUUCCUAUUUAUUAUUUUCAUUGCCUUCCAAGAUCGACUGCAUUUGAGGUAGGAUGAAGUUACCGUAGGUCAAUGAGCCUAAUUGGUUUCUCAAUACAUCUUCUGGAAUUACUAAUUUUUUCGUUAGUUUACCUUUUCCAAUUUUCUGAUGUCGGGGUAUAUUGUGGUUUUCGUCGGUGCACAUUAGCAUAACCUAGCUAAAAUGCACUGAGAGAGCAACAUGCCUCCUUAAACAACUCCAUAUGUUAUUCAUGAGCAUAUAUGUUAUGGAUUUCAAGAAUUGAUUUAAGUGCA